rnacentral:rRNA from 1 species
UGGGUAACCUGCCUCAUAGAGGGGAAUAGCCUUCCGAAAGGAAGAUUAAUACCGCAUAAGAUUGUAGUUUCGCAUGAAACAGCAAUUAAAGGAGCAAUCCGCUAUGAGAUGGACCCGCGUCGCAUUAGCUAGUUGGUGAGGUAACGGCUCACCAAGGCGACGAUGCGUAGCCGACCUGAGAGGGUGAUCGGCCACAUUGGGACUGAGACACGGCCCAGACUCCUACGGGAGGCAGCAGUGGGGAAUAUUGCACAAUGGGGGAAACCCUGAUGCAGCAACGCCGCGUGAGUGAUGACGGUCUUCGGAUUGUAAAACUCUGUCUUUGGGGACGAUAAUGACGGUACCCAAGGAGGAAGCCACGGCUAACUACGUGCCAGCAGCCGCGGUAAUACGUAGGUGGCAAGCGUUGUCCGGAUUUACUGGGCGUAAAGGGAGCGUAGGUGGAUAUUUAAGUGGGAUGUGAAAUACUCGGGCUUAACCUGAGUGCUCCCUCCCAAACUGCAUAUCUAGAGUGCCGGAGAGGAAAGUAGAAUUCCUACUCUAGCGGUGAAAUGCGUAGAGCUUAGGAACAAUCCCCCUGGCGAAGGCGACCUUUCUCGACUGUAACUGACACUGACGCUCGAAACGCGUGGGGAGCAACCAGGAUUAGAUACCCUGGUAGUCCACGCCCUAAACGAUGAAUACUAGGUGUAGGGGUUGUCAUGACCUCUGUGCCGCCGCUAACGCAUUAAGUAUUCCGCCUGGGGAGUACGGUCGCAAGAUUAAAACUCAAAGGAAUUGACGGGGGCCCGCACAAGCAGCGGAGCAUGUGGUUUAAUUCGAAGCAACGCGAAGAACCUUACCUAGACUUGACAUCUCCUGAAUUACCCUUAAUCGGGGAAGCCCUUCGGGGCAGGAAGACAGGUGGUGCAUGGUUGUCGUCAGCCCGUGUCGUGAGAUGUUGGGUUAAGUCCCGCAACGAGCGCAACCCUUAUUGUUAGUUGCUACCAUUUAGUUGAGCACUCUAGCGAGACUGCCCGGGUUAACCGGGAGGAAGGUGGGGAUGACGUCAAAUCAUCAUGCCCCUUAUGUCUAGGGCUACACACGUGCUACAAUGGCUGGUACAGAGAGAUGCUAAACCGCGAGGUGGAGCCAAACUUCAAAACCAGUCUCAGUUCGGAUUGUAGGCUGAAACUCCGCC